UACAGAGGGGGCAAGCGUUGUUCGGAAUUACUGGGCGUAAAGGGCGCGUAGGCGGCCUGUUAAGUCGAACGUGAAAUCCCCGGGCUCAACCCGGGAACUGCGUCCGAUACUGGCAGGCUUGAAUCCGGGAGAGGGAUGCGGAAUUCCUGGUGUAGCGGUGGAAUGCGCAGAUAUCAGGAGGAACACCAAUAGCGAAGGCAGCUCGCUGGGACGGUAUUGACGCUAAGGCGCGAAAGCGUGGGGAGCAAACAGG
rnacentral:rRNA from 1 species